GGCAUGUACUGACUGAUUCUCUAGACGGCUCUAUCAUCGUGUGGUGCGAUUUUUGCGGAAGUGCAUCUGUUUCGUCGUGCAGUGGUUUCAGCAACGAAGAUGUCAUCGUACAAGAAAAAUACAUCAGCAGUGGAUGGUUGCAAAAAUGGAGAAAUCAAUUUGGUAUUCGACAACUUACGAUGUGUGGAGAAAAGUGAUCGCCAGACAGCAACGCUACACAAUUCAUACAGGAUAUACAAACACAGAAAAUCCGUUCUUUUUAGAGCCAUCGUGAUGUACAUAGUCCACGAUAUACCGAGCAACCUCCCCGCGGUGUAUAUCGGAUAGCGCUAACGCCGGCGGCAUAUAAAACCUGGAAGCUGAUAUCUGAAUAACAAUUUACGUAAAAACCACAAGUAUGCAGUCUUUUGAGAACGU